AUUGAACGCUGGCGGCAGGCUUAACACAUGCAAGUCGAGCGGAGAUGAGGUGCUUGCACCUUAUCUUAGCGGCGGACGGGUGAGUAAUGCUUAGGAAUCUGCCUAUUAGUGGGGGACAACAUUCCGAAAGGAAUGCUAAUACCGCAUACGUCCUACGGGAGAAAGCAGGGGAUCUUCGGACCUUGCGCUAAUAGAUGAGCCUAAGUCGGAUUAGCUAGUUGGUGGGGUAAAGGCCUACCAAGGCGACGAUCUGUAGCGGGUCUGAGAGGAUGAUCCGCCACACUGGGACUGGGACACGGCCCAGACUCCUACGGGAGGCAGCAGUGGGGAAUAUUGGACAAUGGGGGGAACCCUGAUCCAGCCAUGCCGCGUGUGUGAAGAAGGCCUUAUGGUUGUAAAGCACUUUAAGCGAGGAGGAGGCUACUAAGACUAAUACUCUUGGAUAGUGGACGUUACUCGCAGAAUAAGCACCGGCUAACUCUGUGCCAGCCGCCGCCGUAAUAC
rnacentral:rRNA from 1 species